ACAUCUGCGCUUUGUUUAUAAUGAGAAUUCGCAAGAACGCGCGCGCACUUAAAGCUGAUGAGUUUCAGCGAUGACUCAUCUGAACGCCUCUGAUUGGCCAUUGCAUUCCUAAGCUCAACAGAAUUGUGAUUGGUUAAAAUGCGCAACACUUUAAAAACGCCUAAAAUGAAAUAACAUGAGGAGAUCUUAAUUUAAUGCCACAAUCGACACGGUCUAUUCAUUUUCACUUUGUUAGCAACAAACGUAAUAGAUUUAAUUUGUUUGUGGAGGGGCAUUUUUGCCCCAAGUCCCCAUGUCCAAGGCCUUCUAUGGUAGUUGUAGUUGGAGCAACUUGAGGUGUCCAUACCUGAGCUGGAGGUCAAGGCUUUCUUGGUGUGAUGAGGCCGGUGGGUCAUUUGUUUUUCGGCCACCCCUCUCUUCUUGCCUGACUGGCUGCGGACCUGCAGCUCAAGCCUGGGGUUCCCUGCAUGUCUGGCCACCUGCUUUAACCCUGCCAAAUCAGAUUAUCAUCACUCAAACUAGAUUGCUCCAGAAGCCCUGGAGGACUGUGGCAUCCUGGUCCAGUAUCAGAGUGAGCAGAUCUGUUCGGAGAUGAUGUCGUGAUCUGCCAGCCCAUACAGCAGUGGGAAAGGGUCAUGGAUUGCCAUAGCGAUCUCAGUCCUACAUGCUCGUAGUUGUGAGCGCAGACAGAUGUCAUGCUGAUAAAUGUCCUUACAGAGUGAAUAAAGAGCCAACUACACUGCUCUACACAACCCUAUGGCAACAACUCCGACAGAUUCAAUCUCCUCACACUAUCAGCAGCAACUUCCUGUUUUACAUACAAC